UAGCACAUUUGAAUGUUAAAGUAUUGUUUUGGAGAAUUAGAAUCGUUCAGGAGUAAAUGGUUAAAGCUGACUUCCUGUGUCUCGCACACAGGAGAGAAACCAAUUGCCACGAAGCAUUUUGCCGUGUGGGUAACCCUCUGGGAAGUGUAGCGUGCUGCAGAUUUGCAUAAAUCCCAGUGGAUUGGGUCACCCGCCGUGUGCCCACGGCUUGAACUCCCAGAGCUGCGCUGCUGGGGGCGAAUCACUGGAAGAACGUUCGCCUGAGGAGUUCAGUGCUGAUGCUGCUCUUUUCCUUCCCAGCGGCAGAGUUCGGGGAGCCCACUUCCCAGCAGACAGGGACAGUUGCUGGGAAAACUGUUACUCAAACCGCAGCCCCGGUGUCCUGGAAGCCCCAGGAUUCUUCGGAACAGCCACAGGAGAAGCUCUGCAAGAAUCCAUGUGCGAUGUUUGCUGCUGGAGAGAUCAAAACGCCGGCAGGGGAGGGCCUUCUUGACUCACCCAGCAAAGCCAUGUCUAUUAAAGAAAGAUUGGCACUGUUGAAGAAAAGCGGAGAGGAAGAUUGGAGAAACAGACUCAGCAGGAGGCAGGAGGGCGGCAAGGCUCCGGCCAGCAGCCUGCACACCCAGGAAGCAGGGCGGUCCCUCAUCAAGAAGCGGGUCACAGAAAGUCGAGAGAGCCAGAUGACGAUUGAGGAAAGGAAGCAGCUCAUCACUGUGAGAGAGGAGGCCUGGAAGACAAGAGGCAGAGGAGCGGCCAAUGACUCCACCCAGUUCACUGUGGCUGGCAGGAUGCUGAAGAAAGGUUUGGCGUCACCCACUGCCAUAACCCCAGUAGCCUCACCCAUUUGCAGUAAAACAAGAGGCACCACACCCGUUUCCAAACCCCUGGAAGAUAUCGAAGCCAGACCAGAUAUGCAGUUGGAAUCGGACCUGAAGUUGGACAGGCUGGAAACCUUUCUGAGAAGGCUGAAUAACCAAGUAAGCGGGAUGCAAGAAACGGUGCUCACUGUCACUGGCAAAUCUGUGGAGGAGGUGAUGAAGGCGGAUAAUGAUGAAACCUUUGCCAGAUCUUACCACAGCGUGGAUUAUAAUACGCCCACAAGUCCUGUGGAGCUGGACAGGGACUUCGAUGUCAUUUUCAAUCCUUAUGCAUCCAAGUGAGUUAUUUGGGUCUGCAUCUUUCCUCCACUGAGAAGGGCUUCCUUCGCCUACACACAGCAUAUCCACCAGGCUCUUUCCCCAUGUGACCUCCUUCUCCUUCUAACUCCAUCACAGGGGCGUUAGUAUUCUAGAGCCAGGGCACACUGUUGCAGGAGCCAGGGGCACAAAGCCUCCCAGCAGAUAAAACAUGCAGACGGCAGACCAGAUGUGCAGGCAGGCAGACCCGUGCGCCACAGGUGCUUGUCCUGUGCCAUAAAGAAAGUGUCAAUGGAUUUUUCACAUAACUUGAAUACUGUUUUGCAGUUUUUAGGUUUACAUCACUUAGCAGAGUUCAACGCCUGUCUUUCAUUUGACUUAUUUAAUUCUUACUCAUAACUUUGCAAAAUAUUUAGAUGAGAUGGGCUCAAAUUAGUACAGCUCACUAAAAAAUCAGUGAGGCAUGUUACUUAGCUUCCAAUCAUUUACAAAAUCAAUAGAUCUGCGG
rnacentral:lncRNA from 10 species